ensembl:lncRNA
AGCCGGCACAGCCAGAAGUCUGAUUCCUCUCUAAGUUUCUUCAUAGGGAGUUUUUCCUGUGAAUCAAACCAUGUUUUUGCUUGCGGUUUAGGGUUUCUUGGGUGUCUAUAUAAGCACUUUGACACAAUUGCUGUUGUAAAAAGGGCUUUAGGAAAUAAACUGGAUUGAUUGCUGCCAAAGGCACUUCUCAAGUACUGAACAAAGGGACUGAAUAUGUACAUAAGAUAUCUGAUUUUUAUUUUUAAUAAAAUGGAAAAAUGGUACAAAGGUUUUUAGCAUUUUAUGUGGGUGUGUAGAUUGACAGAAACAGAAAGACAGAAAGUGAAGGGGUCUGAAUAAUUUCUGAAGGCACCGCGAGUGAAAGAAACGUAAGCCGAAUUCCUGCCCCUCACUCAGGAUCUGACAUCAUGAGUUGCUAUCAGCCUCAGUGUGAUGAAGCUCUCUGGCACCCCGUUUGUGAUCAGUUGAUCACGGAUCUGGAAAUUGAACAAGCAGACACAACAGAUAUAUGAUUAUCAGGAGGAUCUGAGGGGAAUCCCGCAGUUGGUUGAAUGUGAAACCAUCUGACAUGGUGGAGUGAUACUGACUUGUGGUAAGACUUCUGUUGUGAUGUUUGCAUCUGUGAGCAAACCUGUAAGCAGUGGCUGAUAGGAAAGUUUUAUGCUCACUACAAGUAUGUGUCCUGUAGAAACAGUCAAAAUGGUUAACAAACACAUAUGCACACAUUAUUUUUGGAGUUUGAACAACCAGUGAACGCCAUACUUACUAGACCUGCUGCUCAGUGUUGUAAUGGUAGUAGAGGUAACUGGAAGAGUGGUGAUUGAGGUGGUUGUGGGAUUGGGGAUUGAGGUGGUUGUGGGAUUGGGGAUUGAGGUGGUUGUGGGAUUGGGGAUUGAGGUGGUUGUGGGAUUGGGGAUUGAGGUGGUUGUGGGAUUGGGGAUUGAGGUGGUUGUGGGAUUGGGGAUUGAGGUGGUUGUGGGAUUGGGGAUUGAGGUGGUUGUGGGAUUGGGGAUUGAGGUGGUUGUGGGAUUGGGGAUUGAGGUGGUUGUGGGAUUGGAGAUUGAGGUGGUUGUGGGAUUGGGGAUUGAGGUGGUUGUGGGAUUGGGGAUUGAGGUGGUUGUGGGAUUGGUGAUUGAGGUGGUUGUGGGAUUGGUAGUUAAGAUGGCUGGGAGAUUGGUGGUUAUGUUUGGAAUGGUAGAUGUAGGAGCUGUAGCACAAAGAAAGACAAACAAAUUGGCUGAUCAAUUAAUGUUUUCGUCAAAGAUGCAGUCUCCAAUUUUCAGUGGAGAGUUGUAAAACUGGAGCUGUCAAGCCAAAUUGGUUCACAGAAAAUGGUGAUAUGUGUUACGUAUGUGUCAAUUUGUGCCAAAUGUUAUUUAAAAAACACUCACUUUCAAAUGAGAAUUUCAUUGAUGACUGAUAUGAUAAAAUGUAUAAUAUUCUACUUAUAGAUUAGGCUAAUAUAAAAAAAACAUAUUACACAUCCAGACAUAAAUGUGUACAAUGUUCAGACAAAAUUUGAAGCAUUGGUCAAACAAUGUUAGCAUGUAUUUUGAACUUUUCAAGUUGAGAACAUUCAAUGGCAUUGCCCAUGAAUAGACUAAGCACAAUAUGCAACUGUAGGCCCAGUCCUCAUGUAAAAUGUCCCUGAUUGUCUUGAAAGGCGUCCCCCAAAUAAAAUGUAUUAUUCUUAUUCUUACUUGAAACGUAGUACUACAUACACAAUUAGAGACACCUAAUGAUAUAUGUCCAGUUACCGACCAAUGUAAUGCUAAAUGUAUAAUAACAGACAAAGAUGUCUAUUUAUUAGUACUGAAAAAAAAAAAUAUAUAUAUAUAUUUAUUAGUACUGACCAUUAAGAUGGUUACAAUCAUGUACAAUGGAUAUACUGUCGCUUAUAUGUGGCUGGCAUUGAUAUGACAUGACCACUGUCAAGGGGAGUCUGGUUAUUUGGGACAACAAGAGCUUCAGAUACCACAGACAUCAAUCCUGAAUCAGACAUUGUCUGGACGUCUAUCUAGACACCUGUGGUAACAGCGGUUGGACCAGGAACGUAAUGACGGAUGUGGAAUGAUUAGAUUAGUUCAUAUACUUGUCUGUGACAUUGAUUGUCUCUCUGUCGGUUGUCGAUGUAUUUUAACUGAAUCACUUGAAAAAGUGCAACUUAACCCUGUAACGCCAAGUGUAUCAAAACCUCUACGUCGUCAACAUGAUCAACACUUUCACUAAGAACCUGUUGUAUGCAAUCUGAUACAUGUCUUCUUCCCCCUGGUGGAUAGUCUGUGCACUGCAGGCAAAAGCGGGCUUUUUGAAUGACCGAUCAAAAAUGUCUGCUUUCAUAUAGCGACACACCCGUUUUUGAUAGGGAACUCUUUGCUAAUUUUGAAAAAGUUACAGUAAGAAUAACAUUUUUAUUGUUAGUAAUAUUUCUAUAUGAAUAUUUACUGUGUUGAAGCAACUUAUUAUUACUUAAUAUUUUGUACCUUAUUUUAUAGUAAAAUUGUGUUGAUAAUGUGUGUAUCAAAUAUGAUACAGCAGGUAUGUAAGGUAUUAAAUCCCUCAGUCGUCAUUGCAUUGAAUUUCAUGACGCAAUCUGCUUUAUGCCAAAUACACAAUUUAGAUUUUUUUAUAAAACUUAUGAAACAUUGGAUAUAUUUAAGAUAUACAGUGGGAGAACAAGUAUUUGAUACACUGCCGAUUUUGCAGGUUUUCCUACUUGCAAAGCAUGUAGAGGUCUGUAAUUUUUAUCAUAGGUACUCUUCAACUGUGAGAGACGGAAUCUAAAACAAAAAUCCAGAAAAUCACAUUGUAUGAUUUUUCAAUAAAAAAUUUUAGAUUCCGUCACUCACAGUUGAACAGUGUCUACGAUAAAAAUUACAGACUUCUACAUGCUUUGUAAGUGGGAAAACCUGCAAAAUCAGCAGUUCUCCCCAUUAUAUUUACAGUGGAAAUUGAGAUGUGUUUUUCUUUAUAUAUGCAACCCACAGUCAUGAUGAAGUCUUUUAUCAUCGAUUUUCACAAAAAUAACUUCUUGGCUGUCAUAAUAUGUAUGUUAUAUUGACAAAUUCAGAGAAGAAAUUCAGAGUACGAAAUGAAAUUCUGAGUAUGCAAUGUAUUUUUAGAUGGCCAAAGUAGUGUUCAAAAUGUCAUCAGCAUGACAUAGAUAGACGUUUUGACCAGACUAGUGAAUAAGUAGAGGUGUGACAGAACACUAUCCUCUCUAUAACCCCCCGCCACAGCAAAAUAAAAAGGUUUUAUUUUCUUCAGUUUUUAAAAUCAAGUUCCAAACCAACUGAAAUGGUCCAAAUGCAAUAAACAAUGUCUAUUUAGUUUUCUAAAAUAAAAAUUUUAGUGAUCAAUAAAUUACCAUGAAUGCCUGAUUAAUCAAAUAUUUUUUCUGCAUAUAUGUAAAUUAUAUUUAAAAAAUAUCACCAUGGAGUUCCACAAAAACUGUUUCAUUCCACUACAGGAACUGUAAUAACAACCUCAUCCAGAAUAGGGUAACAUUGCUCCAUGAGGCCUUUAAGUGCAGGUAAGGUCCAGUGACAGAAGAUUGUCUUCCGUUACUGGACCUUACCUGCACUUAAAGAUUGUUUUGUAGAAUUCACAGUGGAAUAAAGCAAUAAUAAAUGAAAUGUGAGAAAGUCUGUACACUGGGAGGAAAAUACAUAUGUUGUUGGCACAGGUGCCUAUGCACAUUACCAGGCAAUCACUGGUUGAUCUGACAAUUACUGAUACAAAAGAAUACUUUAAGGGCUACUGUAAAAUGUCCCUCAGUGAGACUACCAGAACACUAGAAAUGGGAUCAAUCUUCUCAGGGCAACAUGCAGUAGUAAAACUCACCACUUUCGUUUCCAACACGGAUGAUGACACAGCGCAGCUCAGAUUGGUACAGGGAACUGGGAAGAUCGACAGAAGUGGAAUUUUUUGCAUACAUUGACACAAUGUUUCUGAGACAAAAGCCACCAAAUCAUUUUUAUUGACACAUUUUUUGAGCAACAAACUAGUAAAUUACAUUCUGAAAGUACGGAGUGUAGGGAAAAAAAUCUCCACAGUUUUUCGUUAUGACUUUCAAAGUUGCCCACACUUUAGUUAGUUUAGUGUCAUAAAAAUGAACGUCAAGACAAAAUGUUUCAGACUCUGUUUAGCCGUGUUAUGUUUUUCAUUCUUGUUGUUGCAUAACAGUGUACAUUUAAAAGAUUUUCCAUAGAUUCAAGUCAAACUGUCAUUAGUCUGACCUGCCAUUCAGUCCCUGAGCGAUGAAGCACACAGGAUAAGCCCCUCCAUCCUCUGUAGUAGGCGUCCAUCUUAGAAGGUACAGUCCUGGGCUGGUGGUGUUCUUUGUGAUGUUCUGAGGUCCACUCACCAACAGCUCUGUAGCCCUUAACACAGGAAGGGAAAAAAAGAAAAUGAACAAUAACCUUUUGGCAUGAUGAGACUCUCAUUCAAAGCGAAUGUCUCUGACUUCCAGAUCCAAACGCAAUGGUCCCACCAAGUGGUACCUAAUAAAACAGUCCAUAUCUAGUGAAUUCUGUCAUCACAAUCUGUACUUGAAACCUAGAGGGAAGCUAAAGCUUUUUUUAUAAACGGAUGGCUAAGUGAGUGAAUGUGGUAGCCAAAUAUCAUUUGGACCUUGUGUGCAAACUGACAAAUAUCCAGGUUCCCUUUUUCAGAGAUUGAGUCAUGGCACUGGUGACUGACCCAACCCUUAGACUAGUGUUUCCUGGUUUCUAUCCUCUUA